rnacentral:rRNA from 1 species
GACGAACGCUGGCGGCGUGCUUAACACAUGCAAGUCGAACGGAAAGGCCCUGCUUUUGUGGGGUGCUCGAGUGGCGAACGGGUGAGUAACACGUGAGUAACCUGCCCUUGACUUUGGGAUAACUUCAGGAAACUGGGGCUAAUACCGGAUAGGAGCUCCUGCUGCAUGGUGGGGGUUGGAAAGCUUCGGCGGUUGUGGAUGGACUUGCGGCUUAUCAGCUUGUUGGUGGGGUAGUGGCCUACCAAGGCUUUGACGGGUAGCCGGCCUGGGAGGGGGACCGGCGACAUUAGGACUGAGAUACGGCCCAGACUGCAACGGGGGGCAGCAGUGGGAAGUAUUACCCAAUGGGCGGGAGCCUGAUGCAGCAACGCCGCGUGCGGGAAGACGGCCUUCGUGUGGUAAACCGCAUUCGCCUGUGACGAAGCGUGAGUGACGGUAAUGGGUAAAGAAGCACCGGCUAACUACGUG